GCUACGGGUGGCAGCAGUAGGGAAUAUUGCUCAAUGGGGGAAACCCUGAAGCAGCAACGCCGCGUGGAGGAUGAAGGUUUUCGGAUUGUAAACUCCUUUUUAUAGAGAAGUUAAUGACGGUAUCUAACGAAUAAGCAACGUCUAACUCCGUUCCAGCAGCCGCGGUAAUACGGAGGGUGCAAGCGUUACUCGGAAUCACUGGGCGUAAAGAGCGCGUAGGCGGGAUAGCAAGUCAGAUGUGAAAUCCUAUGGCUUAAACACAGAACUGCCUUUGAAACUGUUAUUCUAGAGUAUGGGAGAGGUAGGUGGAAUUCUUGGUGUAGGGGUAAAAUCCGUAGAGAUCAAGAGGAAUACUGAUUGCGAAGGCGACAUGCUAGAACAUAACUGACGCUGAUGCGCGAAAGCGUGGGGAGCAAACAGGAUUAGAUACCCGGGUAGUC
rnacentral:rRNA from 1 species